GAUGAACGCUAGCUACAGGCUUAACACAUGCAAGUCGAGGGGCAGCGGUAUCGAAAGCUUGCUUUCGGUAGCCGGCGACCGGCGCACGGGUGAGUAACGCGUAUCGAACCUGCCUCAUACUCGGGAAUAGCCUUGCGAAAGUAAGAUUAAUGCCCGGUGUUUUCAGAGUCCCGCAUGAGGCUUUGAACAAAGAUUUAUCGGUAUGAGAUGGCGAUGCGUCCCAUUAGCUUGUUGGCGGGGUAACGGCCCACCAAGGCAUCGAUGGGUAGGGGUUCUGAGAGGAAGGUCCCCCACAUUGGAACUGAGACACGGGCCAAACUCCUACGGGAGGCAGCAGUGAGGAAUAUUGGUCAAUGGGCGGAAGCCUGAACCAGCCAAGUAGCGUGCAGGAAGACGGCCCUCCGGGUGGUAAACUGCUUUUAGUUGGGAAUAAAACGGGGCUCGUGAGCCCCCUUGCAUGUACCAUCAGAAAAAGGACCGGCUAAUUCCGUG
rnacentral:rRNA from 1 species